UACGGAGGGUGCAAGCGUUAUCCGGAUUCACUGGGGUUAAAGGGUGCGUAGGUGGGUUGGUAAGUCAGUGGUGAAAUCCCCGAGCUUAACUUGGGAACUGCCAUUGAUACUAUUAAUCUUGAAUACCGUGGAGGUUAGCGGAAUAUGUCAUGUAGCGGUGAAAUGCUUAGAUAUGACAUAGAACACCAAUUGCGAAGGCAGCUGGCUACACGAAUAUUGACACUGAUGCACGAAAGCGUGGGGAUCAAACAGG
rnacentral:rRNA from 1 species